rfam:Candidatus Regiella insecticola 5.15 Rin_2504559902.53, whole genome shotgun sequence.
CGACCUCAGAUCAGGCGGGACUACCCGCCGGAUUUAAGCAUAUUAAUAAGCGGAGGAAAAGAAAACAACCGUGAUUCCCCCAGUAGCGGCGAGCGAACAGGGAAAAGCCCAUCGCCGAAUCCCGCCGCGCACUUUUGUGUCGCGGCACGUAUGGGAGUUGUGGCGUACGGGCCGGCCUCGUUGCCGGGGCGCACGUGACGGUCCAAGUCUCCCUUGAACGGGGCCAUGGCCCGCAGAUGGUGCCAGGCCAGUAGAGGCCGUCACAGCGUUCCGGGAUCGGACCGCGCCUUCGAGUCGGGUUGCUUGAGAGUGCAGCCCGAAGCGGGUGGUAAACUCCAUCUAAGGCUAAAUACGGCCACGAGACCGAUAGUGGACAAGUACCGUGAGGGAAAGUUGAAAAGAACUUUGAAGAGAGAGUUCAUAAGAACGUGAAACCGUUCGGGUGUAAACGGACAGAGCCCGCGAGUCCCCGCCGGGCGAAUUCACGGUCGGUCUAACCGCCGGCCGGAUCUUUCGCUCGGUUAGCGGACGUCGCGACUCGUUGGGCGCCGGCCGAAGGGCCCGGGUGGCGGUUCGUCGCGGCGGUCGCGUUUCGGCGUGACCGAUCGCGCCGAACCCCGGUGCUCCUGGUCGGCUCGCCCGACGGCAAGAACCGUCGACGCGGCCCCGUCGCAGGCGGGGUCCCGUCGGUCGGCGACGAGUUUCGGGCUACUUUCCGACCCGUCUUGAAACACGGACCAAGGAGUCUAACGUGUGCGCGAGUCAACGGUGAUCCUACGAAAAACCACGUUUGGCGCAAUGAAAGUGAACCGUUUACGGUGCGGACGAUGGCCUAGCGACCGAACCCACCGGCGUUCAAAGUCGCGCUGGUCCGCAGUCCGGGGGCGUCUCCGCCAGGUCGGCUUCGGCCGUCCGGGGGCGCACCCUUAGCGCACACGUUGGUACCCGAAAGAUGGUGAACUAUGCCUGGCCAGGAUGAAGUCAGGGGAAACCCUGAUGGAGGUCCGCAGCGAUUCUGACGUGCAAAUCGAUCGUCUGAGCUGGGUAUAGGGGCGAAAGACUAAUCGAACCAUCUAGUAGCUGGUUCCAUCCGAAGUUUCCCUCAGGAUAGCUGGCGCCGAUGUGUCCCGCCCGUUCGCGGGCGUACGGACGCCGGUGGGACUCCGCGCUGUACGGCGCGGUAACAACACGCUCGUAACACGGAGGAUGUCUCAUACGGUAAAGCGAAUGAUUAGAGGACAUUGGGGCCGAAACGACCUCAACCUAUUCUCAAACUAUAAAUGGGUGAGAUCGCCGGCUUUACCUGGUACACCGCGUGAACCGCGUGCGAAGCCGGCGACGGAACCCUAGGCGCUUAGUGGGCCAUUUUUGGUAAGCAGAACUGGCGCUGCGGGAUGAACCGAACGCCGAGUUAAGGCGCCGAAAUCGACGCGUAUUCAGAGACCAUGAAAGGCGUUGGUUGCUGAUGACAGCAGGACGGUGGCCAUGGAAGUCGGAAUCCGCUAAGGAGUGUGUAACAACUCACCUGCCGAAGCAACUAGCUCUGAAAAUGGAUGGCGCUGGAGCGUCGUGCCUAUACUCGGCCGUCGGCGGCAUAGUGGGGCCGGCCGUCGCUCGCGGCGGUCGGUCCCGGCAAGCCCCGACGAGUAGGAUGGCGCGGCGGUGUGCGUCGAAGGGCAGGUCGCGAGACCGCCUGGAGCCGCCGUCGGUGCAGAUCUUGGUGGUAGUAGCAAAUACUCGAGAGGGGCCCUCGGGGGCUGCCGUGGAGAAGGGUUUCUUGUGAACAGCCGUUGUCCAAGAGUCAGUCGAUCCUAAGCCCGGGGAGAGAUCCUCGUACCACGGGCGAAGGCGUUUUCGAAUCGCCCAUGGGGCGAGAGGGAAUCCGGUCCGUAUUCCGGAACCCGACGCGGAACCGCUCCCUAGUGUUCGGGGCUCUUUUGUCUCGUCCGGGCGACCGGAAUGAACUCGAAGAAGCCGCCGGGGGGUCCGGGAAGAGUUCUCUUUUCUCUGUGAGCGUUGUACGUCCCUGGAAUCCUCUAGCCGGGCGAUAGGGACGCGAGCGCGAAGAGCACCGCUCGUUGCGGCGGUGUCCGUGACCCCCACGCGGACCUUGAAAAUUCGAGAGAGGGCCACGCGGAGUCUUCGCGUCGGUUCGUACCGAUAUCCGCAGCAGGUCUCCGAGGUGAGCAGCCUCUAGCCGCAUAGAAUAAUGUAGGUAAGGGAAGUCGGCAAAACCGAUCCGUAACUUCGGGAUAAGGAUUGGCUCUGAGGAGCGUGGCGGAUCGGGUUCGGGUCGUCGUAGAAGCGUAGGCGGUGCUGGCGACACCCCGGCCGUCGCCCGUGCGCCCGGUCUUAGGACCGGGAGCCUCGAGGCGGUCGCGGGCUCGUCGCCGUCCGCCGACCGUGGAACCACCGAGCUUCGGUCGCUGGCCGCGGCGCGGCCGGCCGUCCGCCCCGGUGUCGGUUCGCCGUCGCCGGGCGGUCCGGCCGCCGCGUCGUCGGCCGCGUAGCCGGAUCGACCGCCAUGUAACGGUCAACUCAGAACUGGCACGGACCAGGGGAAUCCGACUGUCUAAUUAAAACAAAGCAUCGCGAUGGCCCGGGACGGGUGUUGACGCGAUGUGAUUUCUGCCCAGUGCUCUGAAUGUCAACGUGAAGAAAUUCAAGCAAGCGCGGGUAAACGGCAGGAGUAACUAUGACUCUUUUAAGGUAGCCAAAUGCCUCGUCAUCUAAUUAGUGACGCGCAUGAAUGGAUUAACGAGAUUCUCACUGUCCCUAUCUACUAUCUAGCGAAACCACAGCCAAGGGAACGGGCUUGGAAAAAUCAGCGGGGAAAGAAGACCCUGUUGAGCUUGACUCUAAUCUGGCAUUGUUCGGAGACAUGCCGAGGUGUAGCAUAAGUGGGAGUCGGGGGUCCAGGCGGGCGGUUUCGGCCGUCCGUCUCCCCGUCGACCUUGAAAUACCACUACUCGCAUCGUUUCCCCACUUACUCGGUAGAGCGGAACGCGCGGUUCCGGCCGCGGGUGCGUCCGGCCGUCGGCCGUCGUCCCGUCGCGUCGUCGGCUCGCCGUCGGUUCGUCCGGCGUGCGACCGGCGCGCGGCGCGGUCGCCGUGCCGUCGGCCUGUGCCCGUUCGUGCCGGGCCGCGGUUGAUAUUCCGGUAGCGUUAAGCACCAGCCGAGGGCUCCGGGCGUCAAACCGCGGACCGCGUCCGUGCG